ensembl:lncRNA
GGUCCAUUGGAGUCCAUUGGGGUCCAUUGGGUUCCAUUGUGGUGCAUUGGGCUCCACAGAGGUCCAUUGUGGUCCAUUGGGGUCCAUUGUGGUGCAUUGGGAUCCAUUGGAGUCCAUUGGGGUCCAUUGGGGUCCAUUGGGUUCCAUUGGGUUCCAUUGGAGUCCAUUGAAGUCCAUUGGGUUCCAUUGGAGUCCAUUGGGGUCCAUUGGAGUCCAUUGGGUUCCAUUGGGGUCCAUUGGAGUCCAUUGGGUUCCAUUGGAGUCCAUUGGGGUCCAUUGUGGGGCAUUGGGCUCCACGGAGGUCCAUUGGAGUCCAUUGGGUUCCAUUGGGGUCCAUUGGAGUCCAUUGGAGUCCAUUGGGGUCCAUUGGAGUC